rnacentral:lncRNA from 1 species
AGGAUGCCAGUGGGAGUUCAGUGCGAGGUGGAGCUUCAGGUGGAGAUGGAUUGGGCAUGAGACCAGAGAUUCAGGAGAAUGAUGAGCAAUGUCACCAGGUGGCUACUCCGAGCAGAUCUCAGGUCAGGAGGUGCACAGCAUAUGAUGGAGAUGGGAUUGAGUGGCUUGGCUCGACUCUCAUAUUUAUCUAUCCAUAAGUAGUAGGCAAUUGCCUCAGGAUGUGGGGA